ensembl:misc_RNA Metazoa_SRP Metazoan signal recognition particle RNA
ACUGGGCGUGGUGGUGUGUGCCUGUAGUCCCAGCUACUCGGGAGGCUGAGGCAGGAGAAUUGCUUGCACCCAGGAGGCUGAGGUUGCAGUGAGCCAAGGUUGUGCCACUGCACUCCAGCCUGGGUGGCAGAGCGAGACUCUGUCUCGU